UACGUAGGGGGCUAGCGUUAUCCGGAAUUACUGGGCGUAAAGGGUGCGUAGGUGGUUUCUUAAGUCAGAGGUGAAAGGCUACGGCUCAACCGUAGUAAGCCUUUGAAACUGGGAAACUUGAGUGCAGGAGAGGAGAGUGGAAUUCCUAGUGUAGCGGUGAAAUGCGUAGAUAUUAGGAGGAACACCAGUAGCGAAGGCGGCUCUCUGGACUGUAACUGACGCUGAGGCACGAAAGCGUGGGGAGCAAACAGGAUUAGAUACCCCCGUAGUCCCUGAGCGGG
rnacentral:rRNA from 1 species